CGCGAAAGUCCGCAAGGAUGAGUAAAGUGGCGCACGGGUGAGUAACACGUAGGUGACCUGGCCUUGGGUGGGGGAUAACAGUCGGAAACGACUGCUAAUACCGAAUAAGUUGUGAAGGAUUAGAAGAUUCACAAGAAAGAUGGCCUCUAUUUAUAAGCUAUCGCCGAAGGAUGGGCCUGCGGAACAUUAGCUAGUUGGUGGGGUAAUGGCCUACCAAGGCGACGAUGUUUAACUGGUCUGAGAGGAUGAUCAGUCACACUGGAACUGAGACACGGUCCAGACUCCUACGGGAGGCAGCAGUAGGGAAUAUUGCGCAAUGGGGGAAACCCUGACGCAGCAACGCCACGUGAGUGAGGAAGGCCUUCGGGUUGUAAAGCUCUGUCAUUAGGGAAAAAUGGCGAUUGGUAUAAUACACCAGUCGAUUGAUGGUACCUAAGGAGGAAGCACCGGCUAACUUCGUGCCAGCAGCCGCGGUAAUACGAAGGGUGCAAGCGUUGUUCGGAAUUAUUGGGCGUAAAGAGUGAUAAGGCGGAUCUUCAAGUCGGUUGUGAAAUCUCGGGGCUUAACCCCGAAAGUGCGGCCGAAACUAGAGAUCUGGAGUGAUGUAGGGGAGAGGGGAAUUUCACGUGUAGGGGUAAAAUCCGUAGAGAUGUGAAGGAACACCUGAGGCGAAGGCGCCUCUCUGGGCAUUUACUGACGCUGAUUCACGAAAGCGUGGGGAGCAAACAGGAUUAGAUACCCUGGUAGUCCACGCCGUAAACGAUGAACACUAGUUUUUGGAGGUAUUGACCCCUCCUGGAACGUAGCUAACGCGUUAAGUG
rnacentral:rRNA from 1 species